CAAAUGUUAGCAGAUGGUGGUCAGACAAAGGAAAUGGAACAGUGGAGAUAUUAGAGGUGGUACAGAGAUUGGUGAAGAUGAGGUCAAGAGUUUUUCCUGCAGUAUGAGUUGCUGAAGAAGACAACUGCAUGAGGCCAAAGGAGGAGGUUACAGAGAGCAGACUGGAGGCAUCAGGGCAGUUGAGGUUGUUGAUUGGGAUGUUAAAGUCCCCAAGUAUGAGGGAGGGAGUGCUAGAGGAGAGAAAGUGGGGUAGCCAGGAAAAAAAAGUGUUCAAUGAAUAGCCUAGGAGUGGUGGUGGUGCUUGGAAUUUGAUAGAUGAUGGCAAUUCUUAAAGGAGUGGGCUUAAAAAGGCAGACAGUGUGAACUUCAAAGGAAGUAAAGGAAAUGGCAGGGGCAAGGAGGAUAGGUUGAA